rnacentral:lncRNA from 1 species
UGAAAAGCAAAUAGUACUGCAAUUGCAACAACUAAGCCGCAGAGGAUGGACCUCCAUAAUGCAGAUAAUGAAUUAAUACUUUUCUGGACACUGCUUAAAAUAACUAAAGUAAUGCUUCAGUUACAAUAAAAAAAUAGAGCAAAGAGAAAGCACUACACAGUACAAACCUAUCUAGUACAAACGUAAUGAAUAGUACAAUCUCAAACUUAAGCUGUUGGUUCAAUAUUUAAAGGUUGUUGUUCUCUAACGGUGUAAAGGAAACACUCUUGGGAUUGAACACCCGAUAGCUCACAAACACAGACACACAAAGUGCUGCUACUGAUAGUAUAACGGAAAAGGCACUAGCCACAUUCCACGAGCUACUUGAUGCUGCAUCUACCGAGUUGCCACUCAAAGAACCGCCAACAGAUAUGUCAAUGGGAACCCAAUCACAAUUAACAGAGUAGUGUCCAGAACCAUGCCAUGGCUGACCAUCUACUGGAUACCAGAAUGCAACAGACAUCUUACUGGAUCCACCGAUGUUAAAUUGCACGUCCUGCAAGGUAUUAUUUUGCAUCAUUUUACUUGCUAGUUAUUUUAUAAAUGAAGUUUUGGAAUACAGAUAUUACUCCGUACACAACUAUUAAAACAAAAAUACAUUGGGUUUCCAGUGCUCUCUAAUUAAGCUAUAAAAUGGGUUCUUAGCCAGUAAGAAACUAAAAGAAAAAAACACAAUUUGUCAAAACAAAAACCGCACAAUUCAGAAAAACUCCUUCAAGCACAUAUAUUUGAAAACAUCUUUUUCAUCAAUGCUCCCAUACCAAACAAAACCAAAAAAAAAGAGAGGCAGUGAUCUAAAUCCUAUAUGUUUUAGUUUUUGGCCAUAGCCAAUAAACAUGUAUUCAGAAUCCAAGUUUGCAUUGUGAAGAAGGUAAAACAAACAAUACAGUAUAGCACUCUCCUCCAAAGCCAAAGUUGUUUCAACAAGAAAACAGCAUAGAAAUCUAUUGAAAAAAUAUUGUAUCGCAUGACCUGGGAUACACCGUGCCAGCAUUAAUCAAAAUUGAUAAAUAAUAAGUUCUUAUGUUUUUCAUCCACAAACCAUUAUUAGAUUUACAAAAGGCUCCAAUGAUUAAUUUGAGAGAGAACUUGAGAAUAAAUAAUUGAGCUGAUGGGAAAAAAAUCAAUUAAUCAUUGCAAGCUCUUAGCAAAUAAAACUUCUGAAUGUCGUAUUACUUUCUAGGUUCUAACCUGUUGAAGAUGAUCCAUGGUCCUCAAAGGCCUGGAAAAUUCAAAAAAGUAUCUGCCCUUUUUUCCAUUAUCUGCAUAUGGACUCUCAUCCUCUACGAAACCUGUUAUAGACAAGCAUGUGAGUACCAAUACAUAAAAUAAAAGGAAAAAAAGAUGCUAAGAAACUAAAUGGCAGGGUAAAAAUAAAGCAGAGAGAUCAGAUUUAAGAGAAUGAAGUUAAGGUACUCUAAUAAAAUAAAACAAAAAACAGCUCUAAUCAACAAAUCAGAGGCAGUGAUUGAACUGGUCUGAACCACCAAGAAAAAUAACUGAGGUCAGUAAAUUUUAGUGUUAUCCAUAAGUAAAGAAUAAUGUGUGAAUCUAUUGAUCCUAUUACAUAAUAUAACAAGAAUUACACCAAAACUAUGUUAUUUAUUAUGUUCCUGCUGUUAUACUACCUCAGUUUUAAAUUUAUAAUCUUUUAAGGUACCCUGACUAAGAAACAACUAAUUACUAAUAAAACCAUUUCAUAAAGCACUAGUAUAUCUAUUGCUGUUUUUCAUCUGUGUAAAAAAACAUUAAUUACAUGAGAUGGAGAAAUAAUAAAAAUUUUGUAAAAAAGUAUCUUUAAUUCUUACUGUCAUCUCUCUUUCAAUAUAAAUAAUAAUAUAUUAAUUACCUUUACUUAUAUGAGUAGGUAUUACUGGAAAAAUAACUUCAAAAGCUAAAAACACUGUUGUUUUGAUAUAGAGGAAGUAUUUUAGUACACACACAUGGUUCAACCAGAUAAUCAAUUUUACCGUUAACCCAGCACCUAAUUUGAGUCCAUUACUGCGUUUCAUACACUAGAAAUAUAGAAUACAAAAUAUGCUUUAACAUAAAAGAUAGAAUAAAUCCCUACUUUUGUCCUACGAGAACAUAGGUGCUGUAUUUUUUGUACUAGACAUUUAUCAUCAAAAUAAUCCCCUCAAUAAUGCAAAAAAUUAUCACUUUAAUACUCCUUAUAUUUUAACAUCAACAUAACACCUAAACAAUGCAAUUCAAUUUAGUCUCUCGAUCUCAAGCAAAAUGUCAUCGACGAACGGCUGAUUUGAUGAUAACUUGAAUAAUAGAGACUAACGUGACGAUGCUUGUAACUAACUAUCGAGAACCAAAAUAUGGGUCUACUCCCCAAAAAAGGAUAUUUUGUAUGGCAAGAUAAGAAACAAAGUGGAUUUUCUUCUUUAAAGGACACUGAACUUUUGGCACUUAGUGGGAGAUUGACCUACAUAGACGGUACCAAUUGAAAGCAACUGCCACUAACAUGUAUGAAAAUUUUCAAGUGCUGUUGACAUAACAUAAAACAAAAAUUAUAAAUGAAGCACAGUAAAAGGCAUGCUUUAUCUCAUAUAUACGAACUAUUUACUUCUUAAGUAGUAUGUAUAUAUAAGGAAACAUAUUUUAACUACUGCUCAGAAAAUAUUGUUUUGGAAUUCCUGUCUCUAUCAACCAAAAAUUCAGUCUGAAUUCAGCUCCCAACUAUUAUUAAUUGAUAGGACAUAAUACUUGUUUUUUAAUCUAAAAUGAAUCAGUCACCUGAGUGAACCGUGAAACUACUAUGCCACCAGGCACCCUUCCAGUCAUUCUGCGCACUGGAAUCAUUAGCUGACAACAGAAAAAGGGUCAGUCUAUAUACCUUAAAUGAUAAAAGUUAUAAAGAUUACCAAGUAUCAACAAGUGACGGGUUGAAAACAAAAAAUGUCAUAUAUAUAACCCACAACAUUCCAAGUCAUAAUACACGAAUGAAAGAAAAAUUCAUUGCCUGGAGGGAAGUGUCUUUCCUUUCAGAAUUUUAACUCUUUGAAAAUAGAUGCGUUAUCAUUCUAUUCAAUUCUUGUGAAGUAAUAGACAUUUUAUUGUAACUCUCAAACCAUAAACAUUAAUCGGUCAACAAAAUAUACCGACAUAAAUUUAAUUCAUAAUUCUCAUAGAGAUUCAUUUCAGAUGUUAGUUGGUGAGGCAACGAGCUAUAUGACUUGAGCACAGAGCCAAAUAAUCUAGAGUCACAGCAUCAAUGUCCAUAUAUAGUGUCAAAUAAGGAAGAAUGCUCGUAGUUUCUAGAACAUAUGUAGAUGUGGACAGAGGAGCUAGUUCAGAGAUUUUUGCUACUUGGAAUAUUGGUACUUUGACAGGUAAGUUUAUAAAGGUGGUAGGCACCAUGAUUCAGAAGACGAUUAACAUUAUGUACGACGAAAUUCUAAAUGGGUUAGAGAAAAAGUUAAGGAGUUAGUUACAUCGGGAUUUAAACUUUGGUAUACCGGGAAAGUAAGAGAGAAGAAUGGUGUGGGUAUUGUUGUGGACAAGGAUUGGAAAGAGAGGCUGGUGGAUUUAAAAACAUUGAAGCCAAAUUUGAACCUUAGAACUAUUGGUUGAAAACGUGACCAUCAAUAUUAUUGGCAGUUAUGCACCACAAGUAGGUUCUGAAGCACUUUAAAAAAAAAAAAAAAAAACUUCUAGAAAGAUUUGAUGGGAUUGGUUCAAGGCAUUGCACAAGAAGAUUUUCCUAGGAAGACAUCUAAAUGACAGCUGUGAGGCAACACAAUUUAUAGUUCAUGUGGUUCUAGUUUUAGAGAACUACAUAAGGGGUAGCAGUUUACUUUUUUUUUUCUUUACAACUUAAGAUUUUAGAAUUAUGAACAUUUGUUUCAUGAAGGAGGUGGAACAUCAAAUCAUUCAUAGGAGAGGAAGUUUAAGUUCACAUAUAGAUUUUGUUUGUUAGCAAGUGCUGACAAAAAAAGACCCAGAAAAGGAUGGAUUAUAGUUAAGUUGUUGGUCUUGAAGGUAUUUUUUGUUGAAGUUCAAAAGUGCAUACGGGCAUAAUGUAUCAUUUGUCCCAUGAUAGGACUUUAAUGUUGUGGGGUUGUCUAAGUCCCAUAUUAAGUAGUGUGGCACGCUUGAUGGAGUAUUUAAGUGUUUGGUUCUCCCCCUUAAUAACUAGUUUUUGAGGUGGGUUCCCCAACUAUUUGGAUGUUUAUCAAUUUGUAUCAAACCUGGUUAAUGCUGAAAUGUCACUCUUAGGAUGAGAUAAAGCAUGAGUGUUUGGUUCUCCCUUUAAUUGUUAGCUUUGUAGGAUAGGCUCCUCGAGUGUUUGGGUGCUUAUCAGCCCACCAAUGAGAUUUUGAGAUCUAUGAUGCCAAUUAAGUGGGGAGAAAGAGCUUUAAUUUCCACAUUCAAGAACAAGGUAAUAUGCAGGAUUAUGUUAACUACAGAGGAUUUAACUUAUGGGCCACUGAGAAAUUAUGUAAAAUGUGGUAAAGCACAGAUUUAAGAGAAGAGACAGGAUUAUAGAGAACAAAUUUUGUUUUAUAAUAGGGAGGUUUUACUAAUGAAGUCAUUUACAUUUUAGAAGGUAGAUGAAAAGAUACUCAAGUAAGGGAUUUUGAAAAAACUUAUGAUCAGGUAUCAAGAGAAAUACUAGGAAGGUUUACAACAGAAUUCAUUUAUAUUUUAUGAGGUAGAUGAAAAAAAUACUGAAAUAAAGAGACUUGCAUAUAAGUUUUAUUGACUUUGAAAAAACUUGUAAUCGAGUAUCAAGAGAAGUGUAGUGAAAAACUUUGGAAAAGAAAGAUCUUUCAUGACCUAUAUCAAAUCUACAAAAGAAAUCUAUGAUAUGAAAACCACUAGAGUAAAAACUGCAUGAGGAUAUAUGAAGGACUUUUGGAUGGCGAUAGGACAACAAAAAGGCUCAACCUUAAGUCUUUAUUUGUUUUACUUAGUCUUGAAGGUGAUUGCUAGAGACAUACAAAGGAUUAUAGGAUAAUUCCAAAUUGCCUUCCUUUCUACAAAUUAUGCAGUUAUCUUAAUCAAGGAAAGUUGUUAAACUUAAGCUUAGGUUUGAAAAUAAACUUGAAGACAAAAGCUUUUCACUUAAGUAGGAGUCUAACAAAGUAUACACAUUGUAACUUGAACAAAAGACAAUAAGAAUGACUGGGAAAUUGUUGGGAAUCUAAUGGCAUAAAACACUAGGAAUAUAUCUAUCAGUGGAUCAAGGGCAAACUAUACCAGAGAAUUUGACACCACAUUCCAUCUAAAGCUUGAAGGCAUUAGGUUUGUAGGUUCAUUUCACUUAUAUGUACUUCAAAUUGUUCGUUCUUAAAUGUGAAAACAUUAUAUUCACACUUGUGCUCCAAAAAUUUCUUCUUCAAGUGAGCAUUUAUUUCACAUGGUAUGGUCUCUCUUGAGCAUAAACCUUUUUCUAUCAUUGACUAUUCAAUGGGUCCAUAAACCUUAGACAUUAUUGCCAAUAUGCUAUAAUACUUGCAUUAUUGUGUGGCCAUAAAGCUCAGUCGUUAUUGUCAAUACACUAUAGCCACUUGUACCAUUAUUUCCUCACAUCAAUUGAACACAACAUUUGACAUUUGUAUAUAAAUCUAUUGUCAGAAAGACUUUCAAUCCAAAAGAAUUUUUAUCCAUAGAUCCACACCACUGAUUUCUUUAUAUUUGUAUGAGUCAACCAUCAAGCCAAACCAUCAACUUAAUACUAUAUUUGAAUCCAAGUGGAUAAAACAAUUGAAAGAUUCCCUCAAUCUGCCAUGAGGUUAACUACACAAGUGAACAUGACACCAUGUUCAAUAAAAAACUUUAAGAUUUUUAAAAUGUGAAUUUAGUCCUAACUUAACCACCAACUUUGAAGGUGUGGUUUGUACCCACUUACAUCAUAUCUCUAGUUAAGGUGAGAUUUCCAACACACUUUCUCAGGUUGAGGAUUAGACAUCUCAAGCAUAGGACUAUAUAUUUAUGAGUGGUCUAAUAACAAGUGGCAUGAUGGCCAUAGAACCCUCUAAAAGAUUAACUUUGAUACCAUCUUAGAAAAUAAACUUCAAGUCUAACUUAACCUCACAAAAUUGAUUUGUAAAUUGAGGUUUUCACCCUCAUGUAUAGUAUAAUUUGGCUUUAUAUCUAGUUGAUGUAGGAUAUUCAACAAAGGUAUUAGAAUUGCAUUUUAUUUCAUUCAUAUGACACUUCACUUGUUCAUUCUUAUUCAAUGUGAGAGUUAACAUUUAAACAAAAAUAAAAUUGAGAGAUGUCAUACCACAAGAUUAUAGGUAUAAAUAUUUCAUACAAAUACUUCGAAAUGAUGAAGAAAUUAACAAGGUUGUCACCCACAAGAUAUAAAUGGGUUGACUCAAAUGAAGAAAGUCGUUGAACAUCAUUUGUGAGUGCAAAGUACCUACUAGAGUUCAAGGACAACUUAUAUGGUACUUAUAUGCAUCUAACUAUAUUUUAUGAUAUCUGUUAAGAAGUAGACUUAAGCCUAACUUAACUCCAUAAAACCGGCUUGUAAGGUGAGGUUUGCACUCACUUAUAUAUUAUAAAUUUGCUUUAUCUUUAGUCGAUGUGAGACUUCCAACACAUCACCCUCAUGUCGAGGUAUAUACAUCUCGAGCGUGAGACUAGACAUUAAUGGGUGGUCCAAUAACGGCCCGAUAGCGGGUGGAACAACAUGUCCAACAAACAACAAAUAUCACUAGAAUAGGCUCUAACCUAACUCUGAUACCAUGUUAAGAAGUGGACUUAAGCCUAAUUCAACCUCACAAAACCAGCUUGUGAAGUGAGGUUUGCACCCACUUAUAUAUUAUAAAUUGGUCUUAUCUCUAGUCAAUGUGAGACUUCCAACAAUAUCAAUGUUGAGCUUUAUAGGGAUAACAAGAACAAGGUAGGAAUAAUAUAAGAGGACAAGAUAUGGAAUAAGUGUACACAAAACGAUAAUGAUAUGGAACUAAUUAAAAGAAAAAAGAUAGAAAAUCGAGUAAGGUGAUUUGGACACAUAUAGAAGACAUUGGAAAUAACUAAAAAGGCAAGGGAGAGUACAAGGACAUCUAUUAAUAGGAUCACAUGAUAUACAAUUGUUCCAACCUCAAGCUUGUUGACAUAGUUACCGCACCAAGGUUAUUGUUUGUUUUAAAUUCAGUAGCUCUAUCACAAUUUUGUUUUGAAAAGGUGCAUCAAUGGUGGGUUAAAUAAGAAGGGUAUUUGUAACUUCCCUUAACCUUGACUUUUAAACGAUGUGAGAGUUUUGAAUAAAAGUAGCCUAAACUCUCCUUUUAGCACCAAUAUUUCAAUCUCAUAUCGAUUGAUAUCAUUAGGGUCACCAUUUCCAAAGUAUUAUCAGCUUUGGAACUUGAUGACUCCCUUUCAAUUUUUUUCCAAAAAAGGCAUCACGACAGGUUAAGAAAGGACUAUUGGAACAAUAAUUUUUGAAGUUUUGACUUUUAACCAAAUUAAAAGACUUUUGUUCAUGUGACUAAUUUCACCUAGUAAAAUAAAUCUUUGUUUGCUAUACUAGCUGAAAUGAUGCUUUUUUCUACAGAUAAAGAAAAUAAUGUAAAUUGGUUUGCCAUUACGAGACUGGAUAUGUUAUGCUGCACACAUCAUAUUAGAUACAAAGAGAAAAUAUUAUAUGUUUAAGAUUAUGAAAAUACCACUGAGUAUAAAGUAACCGAAGUAGGACAGAUUACGAUUUCAAUGAAAUACUGCUGGGUGCUAUUGUGUUGAGUGUUAUGAACUGUGGGCCCAACAACAGCACUUGUCAAUCUUGUGUCAUGCCAUUUUAAAACUUAAUACCUUUACCUGACUUAGGAACUUAAAAGUUGUCUUAUGUAAUCUUAUAGCAUUAAAAGCACUUAUAUCUACAUCUUGUCCUCUAAUAUACGGAUAAGAGAUGCCUUAAUUAAUUUUGUCACAUCCCUUUCUUCCGAUGUGAAUGAAGCCAUCUUAAAGUAAUCUAAGAGGUAUCAUACAUAUGCCAAAAUCACUACUUAAUCAUUUUCAUAUGUAAAGUUACAUCAAUUUUAAAUUGGGACUUGUAGGGCAAAGAUAAAUUACUUUACAAAAGCUGCUGAGAAAAAAACGAAGGAGCAAAUUUAGAAGAGAUUAAUAUCAACGUGAACCUUAAUUUCCAAUGCUAUGCUAAAGGAAUAAAAUAAUGAACCACCUCGUGCAUGGUUCAAAACAAGAUAUAAUUAUUUUCUUUUUAUAAGGCUAGAGUGAGUAAACUGUGAAGGAUAUUAAUAAGUAAGCUAACUAAAUAACGUACAAUAGAAAAUAGAUACAACACUGGAAGGGGAAAAAGACAAGUAAUAUGAUAAUAGAAAAUGUAUACAGAUGAAUAAACCAUGUUCCACUUAAAGAAUUGCAUGACCACCAGAAUAAUGGGCAUAAGUAUGAAGGAAGAUGUGGUUAGUGAACAAGAGUGAAGUCAUGCAAGCAACUACAGACCAGUAAUUUCAAAUUUCUAAGAAGCCUCUGUGAUAAUUCCACAGGGUUUUCUAAUCCUAUUCUGCUGUUUUUUCAGUCAUACAAGCAAAUAAUUCUUAUUAAUGGUGUUGCCCUUGUACAUACCAGAACCCGGAGGACCAGUUCCAUCCAAGUAUCUACAAUGUGGAUUCCAGGCAUACAGAUCAACCAAGUGACCAAACCUGUACCACCAAAAUAUAGGAAACUGAAUGAACACAUCCAGAAAAAAAAAAAAAAUAGCUAUCAUGAAUUGUCAAACAAUAAAGUACAAGUUAAGAAACUUUUCAACACAUCACCUGUCGCCACCAUUUCCAUCCCUAUUGUCCAAGGGAUUGCCGCCAUAAAGCCGUCCUGGAAUAGCACUUCCUAUGGAAAAGUGCAUAAUGUCAACUUCAUGACCUUUGCAGGUCUUGUUAGUGCAUGAGGUUGAAUGUUCCUCACAGCCACCCAUCUUAUAACAAUCGACACAAUCUUUAUCAAAUAAUGUUUCAUAAAAAUAUUUUGAUAAAGGAUCAGGAUUAUAAUUGAAAGCAACAAAGACCGCAAAACUUGGAAAGCAUUGGAACAAACUAUUGUUCAGUGCAUCAGCUUACAUUAUGAUAAGAGGCACCAUCUCCAAUCUGAAACAUGAGAGCAACAGAUGGACAUUUCUUGCUUUCACUGCGUUGCAAAACAAAUGCACCAACCAUACAAAAUCUCGUCAUAAACUACCAUACACACAAAAAAAGAAGAAGAUGAUAAUACAUAUAAAGAACUUAAUUUAUAAGUAAUAUGGUGUAAAACUUUGUUAUACAGCCAUUACACAGGAUAUCACCUCAGUGGAGCAUCAUCAUGUUGAUAAAUAGGAUUAAAUCGAUAAUAUGAUUAAAUCGUAUAAGAUGUAAGUAAAGUUUAAAUGAAACUCAAAAUUAUGAUGUAUCCUCUCUUAUUUACAAACAUAUUAGACCCUAACAUUAAAUUUCAAAACAUUAUCAACAGAAAUAAGUUUGGUUCAGUAUCAAAACAAACAAGCUAAACUAGCCAGAAGUUUUUUUUUAUAUGCGUGUGAGGGCAUAUUGUUACCCUUUGGAGUACGCAUAAUCACCGUCGACUUGCAAUAGAAAGAAGAUAUCGCGGCCAUCAUGCACACUCUGCAACAACAAAAAAAUGAGAAAAAUAAUAACUAAAAAAAAUUGACGAAACUUAACUGAAGCGGAUGGAGUGCGAUACCUUAACGCUCAUCUUUCCACCUUUGAAUUCAUUCUCAGCGUCAGGGUCGAGGGCGGGGAGGAGAGGGAAGUACGACCCAUCAAUGUCCUUCCAAUCGUCGGCGUGGCCAUCCAGUGUGAUAACGCCGGGUUUGAAAUUGGCCUCGACUCGGAUCUCGGACUCGGAGUCGCAGCUCCAGGGGCCCGAUUCCUCGUGUGACUCCACCCGGGCUCCCAGGCCCAAUAAGAAGAACAGCAAAAGGUAACGAAGCAUUGUGGAAUGGAGUGGUGGCGUGCGUGUGAGCAGUUAGAAGUGAUGAUUGAAGAAUGAAGACACGUGUUUGUUAUGAAAGAUUUUACAGUUAUUGUAGUAACGAAAAUGGUUAUGAUUGUAGAAGGUUGACUCCGUGGUGUGGUGUGGCGGCCGGUGGGUUAGUGAAGGGAAGAAGGAAGGAAAGAUCGCGAUUGGCGCGGCUCUGACUUUUGUUGUGUGUGACUAUGCUUUAUUCAAAAUUUAGAUUAGAUCACAUUUCAUUUCAUUAGAUGUGACGUACUGUUUUCCCCCUUUUCACCGCCACUUUGCCUUUCGCCUCUUUCACGACCAUCUUCUCAAAACCAUUCUUCCAUUUUCUCUUACUUUAACUAUUCAACUAAUUAAUAUUAUAUAUUUCCA